rnacentral:rRNA from 1 species
UCUAAGUAUAAGCGACUAUACUGUGAAACUGCGAAUGGCUCAUUAAAUCAGUUAUGGUUUAUUUGAUGGUACCUUGCUACUUGGAUAACCGUAGUAAUUCUAGAGCUAAUACAUGCAGGACUUCCCGACUCACGAAGGGAUGUAUUUAUUAGAUAAGAAACCAAACCCCUCGGGGUUGUGUGCUGAGUCAUAAUAACUGCUCGAAUCGCACGGCUCUACGCCGGCGAUGGUUCAUUCAAAUUUCUGCCCUAUCAGCUUUCGAUGGUAGGAUAGAGGCCUACCACGGCGUUUACGGGUAACGGAGAAUUAGGGUUCGAUUCCGGAGAGGGAGCCUGAGAAAUGGCUACCACAUCCAAGGAAGGCAGCAGGCGCGUAAAUUGCCCGAAUCCUGACACAGGGAGGUAGUGACAAGAAAUAACAAUACAGGGCCUUUUUGGUCUUGUAAUUGGAAUGAGUACAAUUUACAUCUCUUCACGAGGAUCAAUUGGAGGGCAAGUCUGGUGCCAGCAGCCGCGGUAAUUCCAGCUCCAAUAGCGUAUAUUAAAGUUGUUGCGGUUAAAACGCUCGUAGUCGGAUUUCG